rnacentral:rRNA from 1 species
AGCGAACGCUGGCGGCAGGCUUAACACAUGCAAGUCGAACGGGCAUCUUCGGAUGUCAGUGGCAGACGGGUGAGUAACACGUGGGAACGUACCCUUCGGUUCGGAAUAACUCAGGGAAACUUGAGCUAAUACCGGAUACGCCCUUUUGGGGAAAGGUUUACUGCCGAAGGAUCGGCCCGCGUCUGAUCAGCUUGUUGGUGGGGUAACGGCCUACCAAGGCGACGAUCAGUAGCUGGUCUGAGAGGAUGAUCAGCCACACUGGGACUGAGACACGGCCCAGACUCCUACGGGAGGCAGCAGUGGGGAAUAUUGGACAAUGGGCGCAAGCCUGAUCCAGCCAUGCCGCGUGAGUGAUGAAGGCCUUAGGGUUGUAAAGCUCUUUUGUCCGGGACGAUAAUGACGGUACCGGAAGAAUAAGCCCCGGCUAACUUCGUG